UGCGUAGGCGGAUUAAUAAGUCAGUGGUGAAAACCUGCAGCUUAACUGCAGACCUGCCAUUGAUACUGUUAGUCUUGAGUACGGUCAAGGUAGGCGGAAUGUGUAAUGUAACGGUGAAAUGCUUAGAUAUUACACAGAACACCGAUUGCGAAGGCAGCUUACUGGGCCAUUACUGACGCUGAGGCACGAAAGCGUGGGGAGCGAACAGGAUUAGAUACCCUGGUAGUCC
rnacentral:rRNA from 1 species